rnacentral:rRNA from 1 species
GAUGAACGCUAGCGGCAGGCUUAACACAUGCAAGUCGAGGGGUAACAGGGAAGAGCUUGCUUUUCCGCUGACGACCGGCGCACGGGUGAGUAACGCGUAUAGAACCUACCUUUUACAGGGGAAUAGCCCAGAGAAAUUUGGAUUAAUGCCCUAUAGUAUUAUUGAAUGGCAUCAUUUAGUAAUUAAACAUUUAUGGGUAAAAGAUGGCUAUGCGUUCUAUUAGCUAGAUGGUAAGGUAACGGCUUACCAUGGCAACGAUAGAUAGGGGUCCUGAGAGGGAGAUCCCCCACACUGGUACUGAGACACGGACCAGACUCCUACGGGAGGCAGCAGUGAGGAAUAUUGGACAAUGGAGGCAACUCUGAUCCAGCCAUGCCGCGUGCAGGAAGACGGCCCUAUGGGUUGUAAACUGCUUUUAUACGGGAAGAAACCCAACUACGUGUAGUUGGCUGACGGUACCGUAAGAAUAAGCACCGGCUAACUCCGUGCCAGCAGCCGCGGUAAUACGGAGGGUGCAAGCGUUAUCCGGAAUCAUUGGGUUUAAAGGGUCCGUAGGCGGGCUAAUAAGUCAGGGGUGAAAUCCAACAGCUUAACUGUUGAACUGCCUUUGAUACUGUUAGUCUUGAAUUAUAUGGAAGUAGAUAGAAUGUGUAGUGUAGCGGUGAAAUGCUUAGAGAUUACACAGAAUACCGAUUGCGAAGGCAGUCUACUACGUAUA